rnacentral:rRNA from 1 species
GUAGGGAAUCUUCCACAAUGGACGAAAGUCUGAUGGAGCAACGCCGCGUGAGUGAAGAAGGGUUUCGGCUCGUAAAACUCUGUUGUUAAAGAAGAACAUAUCUGAGAGUAACUGUUCAGGUAUUGACGGUAUUUAACCAGAAAGCCACGGCUAACUACGUGCCAGCAGCCGCGGUAAUACGUAGGUGGCAAGCGUUGUCCGGAUUUAUUGGGCGUAAAGCGAGCGCAGGCGGUUUUUUAAGUCUGAUGUGAAAGCCUUCGGCUCAACCGAAGAAGUGCAUCGGAAACUGGGAAACUUGAGUGCAGAAGAGGACAGUGGAACUCCAUGUGUAGCGGUGAAGUGCGUAGAUAUAUGGAAGAACACCAGUGGCGAAGGCGGCUGUCUGGUCUGUAACUGACGCUGAGGCUCGAAAGUAUGGGUAGCAAACAGGAUUAGAAACCCCGGUAGUCC